UUAAAUUGAAGAGUUUGAUCAUGGCUCAGAUUGAACGCUGGCGGCAGGCCUAACACAUGCAAGUCGAGCGGUAGCACAGAGAGCUUGCUCUCGGGUGACGAGCGGCGGACGGGUGAGUAAUGUCUGGGAAACUGCCUGAUGGAGGGGGAUAACUACUGGAAACGGUAGCUAAUACCGCAUAACGU
rnacentral:rRNA from 1 species